AAUUUUGGACAAUGGGGGCAACCCUGAUCCAGCCAUCCCGCGUGUGCGAUGAAGGCCUUCGGGUUGUAAAGCACUUUUGGCAGGGAAGAAAAGGCGCGGGCUAAUACCCGGCGCCGCGGACGGUACCUGCAGAAGAAGCACCGUCUUACUACGUGCCAGCAGCCUCGGUAAUACGUAGGGUGCAAGAGUUAAACGGAAUUACUGGGCGUAAAGCGUUCGCAGGCGGUUCGGCAAGAAGGAUGUGAAAUCCCGGGGCUUAACCUCGGAACCGCAUUCUUAACUGCCGGGCUAGAGUAUGUCAGAGGGGGGUAGAAUUCCACGUGUAGCAGUGAAAUGCGUAGAGAUGUGGAGGAAUACCGAUGGCGAAGGCAGCCCCCUGGGAUGAUACUGACGCUCAUGCACGAAAGCGUGGGGAGCAAACA
rnacentral:rRNA from 1 species